UUUUUGGCAUAUCCUAUUUAUUACUGGGUCCAGGAACAUUUCUUAAGCUACGUCUCUGAAAAGUGCUUUCUGAAGGGUUUUGAGAUUCCUCAUUAGCUUGAUCUUCUGCCUUUGAAUCAAUAGCUUCAUCUUUGUAAAGAGUUUUUCUUUUUCUGCCUUUGAAUCAAAAAACUAUCUUUUUUUCCUUCAUGAAUGGUUUCGACGGUGGGUGGCGGGUUCCGGUGCCAGUUGCUGCGGCGAGGCAUGGUGGUUUAGUUUGUAUCAAAUGAG
rnacentral:lncRNA from 1 species